UGUUUACUGAGGACCUACUGUGUGCCCAACCCUGUGGAUACAGAGAUGAACAAAGCCCAGUUCCUGCUCCCAAAGGGCUUCCUGACUAGUGGUGUGACCACCCAUUUAUGAAGAGAGGAAAACUGAGAGCCAAGGGAAGGAAUGGACUUGCCCAGGAUCACACAGCUCAAGGUGAGGAGAUCAAGGGUUGAGCACAAGUCAGCUGCGGAGAUGACAGCAGAGCUGGACCGAGAGCCGGCCUCCGGGCUUUGUCCUCAGCCUCGGUUGCAUCACAUGUGUACCCUCAGGACUUCAAGUACAAUGCUGGAAAGAAGAGUUGAUGUGGACAUUUUUGUCUUGUUCCUGAUUUUAAAGCAAUGCUUCAAAUCUUUCACCUUGAAGAAUGAUGUUUGCUGUAAUUAUUUGAUAAAAGCUCUUUAUCAGGUAGGACGUUUCAUUAUGAAUUGGUGGUAAAUUUUAGCAAAUAUUUUUUGCUACACUUGUUUUGAUAACCAUAUGGUUUUUCUCCUUUAUCCAUUAAUAUGGUGAAUUAUAUUAAUAGCUUUUCUAAUGUUAAAUCACUCUUGUAUAUUCCUAGGAUCAACCUAACUUGACCACAAUACAUUAUCUUUUUUAUACGCUGCUGAAUUCAAUUUCUAGGAUUUUUGCAUCUAGGUGAAGAAAUGAGAUUGGCCUCUAAUUUUCUUGACUAAUUUAAUUUCUUUAUAUUCCUCCAACAGAUUUGUCACUGUAGCUAAGCACAGGUCAAUUAUCUCCAAUUUAGAAGGCCCUUCCUACCACUGCUGGCUCCUAAAUAGCCUUUCCAUUCUGGCUUUCUCUCCUAGCAUCAAUGCAUUGAUGCCUGGGUACCAGCCACAGUAGAGACCAAACACCCCCGCUGGAGGUCAGUGGCAGGCCUGAAGAAGCCAAACCCUUGGCGGUCUGGCUGAUUGUCAAUCCACAUCCCUGCUCUCCUACUCAAAACUCACUUUGUCUAAGAAGCUCUUCUUGAUUACCAGCCUGUGAUCUACUUUGAAGGCGGGGACCAUGUGUUUUCCGUCUUUGUAUCCCCAGGGUCCAGCACAGUGUGUGCACACAGAAGUUGCUCAUAAAUGUUUGGGAAACUGAGUUUACCCAACCCAAUUCUGAGUGCUUCCUGGCUGAGGUGACCCUGAUUUAAUUUUUUUUUUUUUUUCAAAAUAGUCGAGCUUUUUUGCACUCAUUACAGGCAUAGGCUCUGUCUCACAAGACAGACAGUGGUUAUUUUGUAGAUGAGAAUUGUGUCUACUGAGGAAUUGCUUUUGACUUUCCAACUGCAGAGCCUGCCCUUC